GACGUAGGUGGCGAACGUUAUCCGGAAUUAUUGGGCGUAAAGGGUGCGUAGGCGGCAUGAUAAGUUAUUGGCGGCAAAUCGAGGCUCAACCUCGUGGAAACUAAUAAUACUGUCUUGCUUGAGUGCAGAAGAGGUUAACGGAACUCCAUGUGGAGCGGUAAAAUGUGUAGAUAUAUGGAAGAACAUCAAUAACGGCGAAGGCAGUUAACUGUUCUGUUACUGACGUUGAGGCACGAAAGCGUGGGGAGCAAAAAGG
rnacentral:rRNA from 1 species